rnacentral:rRNA from 1 species
CCUACGGGUGGCAGCAGUAGGGAAUAUUGCUCAAUGGGGGAAACCCUGAAGCAGCAACGCCGCGUGGAGGAUGAAGGUUUUCGGAUUGUAAACUCCUUUUGUUAGAGAAGAUAAUGACGGUAUCUAACGAAUAAGCACCGGCUAACUCCGUGCCAGCAGCCGCGGUAAUACGGAGGGUGCAAGCGUUACUCGGAAUCACUGGGCGUAAAGAGAGCGUAGGCGGGAUAGCAAGUCAGAUGUGAAAGCCUAUGGCUUAACCAUAGAACUGCAUUUGAAACUGUUAUUCUAGAGUAGGGGAGAGGGAGGUGGAAUUCUUGGUGUAGGAGUAAAAUCCGUAGAGAUCGAGAGGAAUACUCGUGGCGAAGGCGACCUGCUAGAACAUAACUGACGCUGAUGCGCGAAGGCGUGGGGAGCAAACAGGAUUAGAUACCCUAGUAGUC